AGGUAAUGACUGUCCUGUGUAGGUGACAGUGAUAUCCAAUAGGCUAGGCACUCACGAGGCUGGCUGUGGCAAGUGUAAGUGAAAGCAACACGCACUGGCAGGAAGAACAGCAAACGCCGAUGAAGGAAAGGGUCUUUGCAGUGAUGGGCGUUACCAGAGAGGACGAUGGCCAGAGGACGCGAAUGGGACGGGGAGGCAGCGCGUUGGGGGGGGCAGCGCGACACGGCUCGGGCCCGCCAGUGCCCCAACGGGGCCCUAGUUCCUCCCCUUUGAACUGGAAAAUGGCCCACUUCCCACUGGCGAAAACUCAUGAAAUUUGGCAGGACGACCGGGCCUGGUGAAAAAUUCGAUAUUCUGAAGUCGCCCAAACAAUAAAAUGCAAAAUGGCUCCAUAGCGCCCCCUAAGGUGGAAAUUCACACUAUUGACUGUCACGCCUGUACGCUUUGUCAUAUUGACACAAAAAUUGACACACAUAUGUAUCUCAAUAAGAUCUACAAAAAAGUCAGUGCGGCCGUAUCUGUCAAAAUUACGGUUAAAGGGUUAUUUUGCAUUUUUUGCCGAUCCGCACACAUUGGAAUUUCGCUAACUCCUCCGAAGGCUUUCGUUCCACCGGCACCACAUUUGCUCAGGCCAAUCUACACCCCGUGGCCAUUAAAAGUUAUCAAAAUCAUGACGCUGCACCCCACGGUUUACGUUCUAGGGGGCGCCAAAGAUAACACUAAAAUCCACAUAUUUAAAAGUCUUAUAACUUUUUAUUUUUGUCCUCACUGGCCUCCAAGUUUUCUAGGAUGAUGCAAUGUCCAGCCAUCAACACAUUUGUGAAGGAAUUUUUACUCCCCAAAAGAGCGCCCCCCCAUGGCAGGAGAAAAAAGUCAAUUUUUUCUUGUCCCCUAAGGUGAAAAUACACAUUGUUGAGUGUCACGCCUAUACGCUUUGUCAAAAUGACACAAAAAUUGACACACACAUGUAACUCAAUAAGAUCUACGAAAUAGUCAAUGCGCGCGUAUCUGUCAAAUGUACGGUUAAAGGGUUAUUCCGCAUUUUUUGCCGAUCCGCACACAUUGGAAUUUCGCUAACUCCUCCGAAGGCUUUCGUUCCACCGGCACCACAUUUGCUCAGGCCAAUCUACCCCCAAUGGCCAUUAAAAGUUAUUCAAAUCAUGACGCUGCACCCCACGGUUUAGGUUCUAGGGGGCGCCAAAGAUAACCCUAAAAUCCACAUAUUUCAAAGUCUUAUAACUUUUUAUUUUUGUCCUCACUGGCCUCCAAGUUUUCUAGGAUGAUGCAAUGUCCAGCCAUCAACACAUUUGUGAAGGAAUUUUUACUCCCCAAAAGAGCGCCCCCCCAUGGCAGGAGAAAAAAGUCCAUUUUUUCUUGUCCCCUAAGGUGAAAAUACACAUUGUUGAGUGUCACGCCUGUACGCUUUGUCAAAAUGACACAAAAAUUGACACACACAUGUAUCUCAAUAAGAUCUACAAAAGAGUCAAUGGGCGCGUAUCUGUCAAAUGUACGGUUAAAGGGUUAUUCCGCAUUUUUUGCCGAUUCGCACACAUUGGAAUUUCGCUAACUCCUCCGAAGGCUUUCGUUCCACCGGAACCACAUUUGCUCAGGCCAAAUUACACCCCAUGGCCAUUAAAAGUUAUUCAAAUCAUGACGCUGCACCCCACGGUUUACGUUCUAGGGGGCGCCAAAGAUAACCCAAAAAUCCACAUUUUUAAAAGUCUUAUAACUUUUUAUUUUUGUCCUCACUGGCCUCCAAGUUUUCUAGGAUGAUGCAAUGUCCAGCCAUCAACACAUUUGUGAAGGAAUUUUUACUCCCUAAAAGAGCGCCCCCCCAUGGCAGGAGAAAAAAGUCCAUUUUUUCUUGUCCCCUAAGGUGAAAAUACACAUUGUUGACUGUCACGCCUGUACGCUUUGGCAAAAUGACACAAAAAUUGACAAUCAUGUGUAUCUCAAUUAGAUCUACGAAAAAGUCAAGAGCGCGUAUCUGUAUAAUGUACGGUAAAAGGGCUAUUUUGCAUUUUUUGCCGAUUCGCACAUAUUGGAAUUUCGCUAACUCCUCCUAAGGCUUUCGUCCCACUGACACCAAAUUUGCUCAGGCCAAUCUACACUCCAUGGCCAUUCAAAGUUGUAAAAAUCAUGACGCGGCACCCCACGGUUUACGUUUUAGGGGGCGCCAAAGAUGACCCAAAUAUACAUUACAGUAGACAAAGUAGUUUUGCCCACUGAGUGGCGCCAAAGGGACUUGUCUGUGGAGUCUGUGAGUCACUAUUGGCCGUUUUUGACUACUUUAGAUUUUACCUUUAUAUUUCCUCUUACAAAAUUUUUACCUUGCCUUGCCUGGUAUCAUUUUUUUCAGCACAACCUCACCUGUGUCAAUUUACAGUUAUUUUAUCAUUUUGACAUACUAUAUUUACACAUUGGACCCAAAUUCACACACAAAACAUAAAAUCCGAGUGGAAAAAAGUAACGUUUUUACUGUGAAAACCACAAAUAUGUGUGAUGAACUGUUUUUAAAACUUAAACUUCAAAUAAAAAUUGUAAACUUCAAAACAUAUGCAAAUUUUUAACAAAGAACAUAGUAAUUUACCUCUAUUUACAUCAAAAUGCAGGCAAUGGCCCAGGUGUUCUUUGUAAAAUUAUUUACAAAACACUGUAUAGUCUCACAAAUGUCACUUUUUAUUUAUGCCACUACAAAAAAACAUGAUGUAAAUGAUGCAUGAUGUAAAACAUGAUGUAAAAAACUUGUGUAGAUCCUCCUCUAUGUCAGUCCAUGUGUAAUUUUUCCAUAAUUCUUUGUUUUUUGCAGCAUUUUUGUUAGUGUAACUGCAGAUUGUGCUGACAGUGUCUAUGGCAAAAAAAAAAAAAAACUGAAAAUGCCUCAACAUGAACCCCUGGUGGUCUCUGAGGGUGAAACCUGCUAACUGCUGCAGCUCUGUCAGCUUCAGUCUCCCAUGCAGAGCUCAGAGCGCAUGUGUGGCUCUGCACCCUUAGCAGCGUUGCUAACUCCUCAGUAAGGAAAGCCUGCUUCAUGUCAGAGUCUCUAAACUCCAGAAGAAGUCGAUAAAAGUCCCUUUCUUUCUAAAAAAACGUCGUUAGGGGGUCUGAAAAGUCAUUGAAUCUAACAACAAAGUCGCUAGGUUUGCAACUACGUGUCCCAGACUGCAUCCCUGCUGAGAGUCCCUCCCUCCCUUCUCAUAUUGCAGGAAGAACGUAAGCGCCCGCCCCUUGUCAAUCAGUCGCCAUAUAAUUUUGGAUUGGUUGUUGUGGUGAAGUUUUCCACCAAUAGGAGAGAUGUUGUGGUGUGUUUUUUUUUCCUUUGGCAAGCCUUUUCCGCCUGUAAGACCUGUCGCUAAUGUCUGCAUGCUAUGUUUUCCUGUCUCAUACAGCGCGAUCGAGCGCCGAACGUGAUCAAAAUAAGCAGAAAACAAGUAUCGCGGACAUAAUUUAUCAUAACUCUGGUUUUAUUUGGCCUAUCAACACAAUUUAAAAACUGGUAUAUAGGUUGAGGUCCUCACUUUUGAGAUAAGUUGAAACGGAGAGUCAACGAGGCUCCGUCUUGCAGCUACAUCCGGUUAAAUAUGUCAUGUGACUUGAACGCACACACACACACACACACACACACACACACACACACACACACACACACACGCACACACACACACUCAGAGUCUGGUUUUUAGCACCUGCAAAAACAUGCUAUUUACAUAUUUGACAAGAAUGCAGAGGCUCCUUUUGCCCCUGAAAAAAAUCAAAUUUCAAACACAACUUGACUGGUCAUUUCUCCAAAAGACAACCAUGAAGCUCCAUCCAAACCUGAAGCAGGCAGUUGGUGCAUGUGUACAGUAACCUGAGGGGAGUGAGGUGACUGCUUCUGAGGAGAACAUGAGCAGUGAAGAUUCACCUUAGAGCUAGAACAGAGACGUGCACAUGAUUAUACAGGGGCAGGGGCUCAAGUUUUUUCCAGUUGUUUAUACAAUAUGGAAAUUAAUGUGAAAUUAAAAAACAAAGUAUUAAUAGAAAGGUAAUGACUGUCCUGUGUAGGUGACAGUGAUAUCCAAUAGGCUAGGCACUCACGAGGCUGGCUGUGGCAAGUGUAAGUGAAAGCAACACGCACUGGCAGGAAGAACAGCAAACGCCGAUGAAGGAAAAGGGUCUUUGCAGUGAUGGGCGUUACCAGAGAGGGCGAUGGCCAGAGGACACAAAUGGGACGGGGAGGCAGCGCGUUGGGGGGGGGGGCGCGACACAGCUCGGGCCCGCCAGUGCCCCAACGGGGUCCUAGUUUGUUAUUAGGGCCCGAGCGUAGCUGCUAAGCAGCUGCGAGAGCCCUCUUGUUCCUGUAGUUUCCUUCUUUUGUUAUUAUUAGGGCCCGAGCGUAGCUGCUAAGCAGCUGCGAGAGCCCUAUUAUUCCUGAUGGAUUCUUCUUAGGGCCCGAGCGUAGCUGCUAAGCAGCUGCGAGAGCCCUCUUGUUCCUGUAGUUUCCUUCUUUAGGGCCCGAGCGUAGCUGCUAAGCAGCUGCGAGAGCCCUCUUGUUCCU
rnacentral:lncRNA from 1 species